ensembl:rRNA 5S_rRNA 5S ribosomal RNA
GUCAACAGUUAUACCACCUUGAAUGCACCUGAUCUCGUCUGAUCUCAUAAGCUAAGCAGGGUUGGGCCUGGUUAGUACUUGGAUGGGAGAAUUAGAAGGAGAACAUUCCUUGCAGAUGACU